CCCUCUCUUUUCUUGGAGGGUAUCCCAUUUGGCAAAAUUAGUCUUAUCUUACCACGUACUGAUGACUAAAGUAUUGUCUCAAACUCUUCCAGAAAUUAUACACCCCGUAUUUUCGGUGCUUUUCAAACUUUUUUUGUUUAUUUUUUUUAAGAAUUUACUUUUUUGUUAAUUUUUGAAAUAAAAUAUUUAUCAGUUAUGUCAUGAUUUGAUUUUUCUUAUUGAUGCUGUCCCCUUAUGGUCAAAAUUCAAAGGGAUCAUUAUGCCCAUGCCGAGGGAUCAUUUUACCUAUGGGGAUGCCUAAAAUGAUCCUUCUGUAAGGUCCUGGAAAAACGUUAAUAACUUUUUUUAUAAUUAUCGAAUCACCAAUUGGCUUAUACUGUUACCUAGAUAAAUCAAUGUUCUUACAAAUAAUGCUACAGUUUUACAUGAAUAAUAAUAAUUUGUAUUUUUUAAAGAAUUUCUCCCUUAGGGGGAUCAUUCUAGGCACCUUUCCCCUACUAUCAUAAAAUCGAAUUAAAACUGGGGAACUAUAAUAUUUUUACUCUACUCAGGAUCCUGGAUUCAAUACACAUGAUUACUAAAAAUUCAUUGUAAUAUUAUUGUUAAUUAACAAAACUAAUAAACAUAUUUAUAAUAAUAAUAAAAAAUGUAUAAAAUACAACUUUUGUUUAACACCUAUAAGUAGUUAAGUGUAUCUACUACUUAUCCCAGAAAGGAGGUGUUUUAAAAAGCCCUACGCCCAGUAACUUCUACCUUCAUUCAUUUGCCGAGAGAUCAUUUUCAAAAUAUAUUUAUUAUAAAAAUAUGCAAGUCUUGGUGAUGAAAAAUGUACUCCUAAUAAAUUAUUACAAUAUACAAAAAAAUAGAAACAAAUUUUAUUUAUUUAAAAAAAAUCUCUCGCAAAGGCAAGUUCCUCUUUCUUCUUGAAUCAAUUAUUUAAGACUUCUUUAGUUGCUAAUCAAUAAGUAUGUUACAAAUUUGGUUAUUCUAACAUCUUCUAUAAGUAUAUGCUAAGUUUACUAAAGCGUCUACUUAUGAAUAUUAGCAUUUGUAGUGUAUACUUUUGACAUGUGGUGAUGCUAAAAAAUAGAUGCUUUUACUUGUAAGUCCCUAUUUAAUACUACAUACUUAUUUAACAAUUUAGAAAACCAGCAUUUAAAAAUUCCUCUACAUCACCGCAUCUCGUCUGCGUUAUCUUUUAGUUAACAGUUUACUAUUGCAUUAUAUAAUUUACAACUUGGAAGGGCAAUCAAUUCGCAACUAGUUUUAGUAAGUUUGAACAAAGUAAGACCUUCUGCUAUAAAACAAUUGUGUUUUCUUUCUCAAUAAGUCAACAAAAGACAAUGCAUGAGAUCGUUUAGCAUCUUCCUCAACAUUUUCUUCACUGAUUUUUACGAAAACGGAAAAGCAAUCUUCAACUGUAAACUUAGCCUCAUUAUAAAAUGGAAUACAAGUGAAGCAUUCUAGCGAAGUUGUACCCCAGCAAGAAGAAAUUAUAAAAUACUUAGGUAUAUUCAUCUAGCAAAUAAAAACUCGCUCCAGUGAUGUUGUCAAUAUGGCCUAGAAAUUAACGCUGAAGUCUCCAAAAUAAUGUGCCUAUUGUUGUUUCAAUUUAUUUCACCGUGGUAUGAUGCCUCAUCACCUUUCUGCCAGAACUACCAGCAAAAAGAGAAGAAAAAGCGAGGAAAUUAGCAAAGAUACCGGUCACUUCUUUUAGAAGAACGAUGGGAAACAAUGAAAGAAAAACUAGCAAAGAAAGAGAAGAAGAAGAAUGAAAAGAAGGGAAAGAAGUUGCUGCGACAAAGGGGGCCGGUUCCAGUAGAACUAUAAGAAGCUGAAGUAAAUGGCGCUGAAGCUAGAAUUCCCUCGGACCAAGUGGUGGAUUUAGAGGAAGAAGAACGGCGUGAAGGAGAAGAGAAGAAGGCGAGAGAACCCCUCAUCAUUUAUAAAGAUCAGAUAGACGCCCAAACUGAGUUCGAUGCUCUUCUGGGACUAAUAGAUGGUAAAAUUUCCGAAAAAUAACAGCUACUCAUGGCAGAAUUGCAAGUUUACAUGAUGGGCGAAGGAGGUAGCUGAAUGUUGAGGAAUGCUUUAUUACAUUACUUUGGUGGCACAUCAAGAUCGUAAAGACCACGUGUUGAUGAACUACGCCUUCGAAAUUGACAGGAUCAGCAAUGAGUAGCAAAAAGCUCUAGCCCUAGUUGUAAUCUAACCAAAAAUGCUGUACUUAUGACGUCACACCUUCUUCUAGAUUACCAAUAUGUUUGAAAAUUCUCCAAGAACGAGAAACCGCCAUCAUCUAUAAUUUAGCCUGCAAGGAGGUGUUUGACGAUGCAGCGGUGGAGCUAACAAUGGCCUUGCAGCAAUAUUUUAACUCGAAGCUCAACGAAAGAACCCUUCUACAGGUGUUUGAAGACCAAGAGUAAAUUCGUGCUGGUUUCAUCUCAAGAGUUUCUCAAGUUAUUCAGAUGAUUGGACCCGAUCCGAUAAGCCUUAAGGUCGCAAGCGAGAGAGUUGACCAACUUAACAACCAAAUUAGUAUAAAAUUGCAUGUAUAUAUAUAUGUUAGUCAUAUUUAUGUUUAAUUGCAGUUGUACAGUUUUUGUAAAUACUGAUUGUUGACAUACGUUUAUAAAGUAUUAAAAGAUUAAUAAAACUAUUGUACAAA